UACGGAGGGUGCAAGCGUUGCUCGGAAUUAUUGGGCGUAAAGGGUAGGUAGGUGGUCUCAUUUGUCUGGGGUGAAAGCCUUGAGCUUAACUCGAGAAGUGCCCCAGAAACGGUGAGACUGGAGUCCUGGAGAGGGUCGUGGAAUUCCCGGUGUAGCGGUGAAAUGCGUAGAGAUCGGGAGGAACAUCUGUGGCGAAGGCGACUGCCUGGACCAGCACUGACACUGAGGCACGAAAGCGUGGGGAGCAAACAGG
rnacentral:rRNA from 1 species